rnacentral:rRNA from 1 species
GAUGAACGCUGGCGGCGUGCUUAACACAUGCAAGUCGAGCGAGGGAGUCUCUUCGGAGAUGAACUAGCGGCGGACGGGUGAGUAACACGUGGGCAACCUGCCUUACAGAGGGGGAUAGCCUUCCGAAAGGAAGAUUAAUACCGCAUAUUAUGAGUUUUCUGCAUGGAGAAUUCAUGAAAGGAGUAAUCCGCUGUAAGAUGGGCCCGCGGCGCAUUAGCUAGUUGGUGAGGUAAGGGCUCACCAAGGCGACGAUGCGUAGCCGACCUGAGAGGGUGAUCGGCCACAUUGGGACUGAGACACGGCCCAG